rnacentral:rRNA from 1 species
UACACUCCUACGGGAGGCAGCAGUGAGGAAUAUUGGACAAUGGGUGGAAGCCUGAUCCAGCCAUCCCGCGUGCAGGAAGACGGCCCUAUGGGUUGUAAACUGCUUUUAUCUGGGGAUAAACCUACUUACGUGUAAGUAGCUGAAGGUACCAGAAGAAUAAGCACCGGCUAACUCCGUGCCAGCAGCCGCGGUAAUACGGAGGGUGCAAGCGUUAUCCGGAUUUAUUGGGUUUAAAGGGUCCGUAGGCGGACUGAUAAGUCAGUGGUGAAAUCCGACAGCUUAACUGUCGAACUGCCAUUGAUACUGUUAGUCUUGAGUAAGGUUGAAGUGGCUGGAAUAAGUAGUGUAGCGGUGAAAUGCAUAGAUAUUACUUAGAACACCAAUUGCGAAGGCAGGUCACUAAGUCUUAACUGACGCUGAUGGACGAAAGCGUGGGGAGCGAACAGGAGGAGAUACCCGUGUAGUCCCAGGAU